AUUUUCCACUUAAUUUGCAGCAAUUUUGCAGCAAGUAUCGAGACUAAAUUUUCGAACGAUUUUCCCUAGGCUUCGGUAUAUGAGUGUCGAGAUCUGUCUCAUAUGUUCGUAGUCCAGUUUUAUACUAGAGAGAAAAUGAGGAUCUCACGUCCAUUCUUCUAGUUGUUCCACGAUACGCGCUGUACUAUGUGACCAAAUAUUAAAGGUAUUCCACGCUAGCAUGUACAAGAACCUAUAAAGUUAGGGAUUUGCCCUGUUUGGCUCCAUCACAGACAAGAAUGUAUACAGCAUAAACCUCGCAUCUUACGAGUCUUCGUGUCCCAUGUUCUGAAACACCGAUCGUGUAAAAAAUCAGAGUGUUUCUUACACCCUCAGCGAUUUAUAGCGGUUAACGCUGCUAUAAGCUGCAAACGGUUAAAAAACGAUGAAAAUCGCAGUUUUCUACGAUUUUCUGUAAGAAAAUGUGAAGUUCGGACGCUUGGAACGGUCGCCUGGUCUUCGUCACCCUCGGCUAUGGAAAGAGAAAGUGUCAACACUUGAGGGUGUCACAAAUUAAGUCCUCCCCCGUAUAGUAAGUAUGUGGGCCAGCGGGCUCGACGUUUUGCAACUGCGACGCCUGGUUUUUUGAGUAUUCGUUGUACAAUCGUUAACGUGGACGAAUCGUCAACGUCGAAGUAAAACCACACAAGCUCGGCAUUUCCGAAUUUACAAAAGUGCUAUAAAUGCUAUAGCAGGAGUGCUAUAAACGCGACUGGCUUGAAUUCGUUUUUAAUAUUUUCUUAAAUUUCGGCCUACACCUGUAAUAAAUCUACAUGUUCGUCCAUCUUUCGAUGCCUGUUGGUUGUUUUUGCAUCAAUCGACUUCGAUAAAAUUUUCUGCAUGUAUAUAGGUGACAUAACUCUUCAAAAUGUGUUGUUGCAGCACAACAGUACGAUCGUAAAGCCUUCGAAUCCUUAGAAGUAGUUUAAGGAAACGACAGCUAUUUGUGAUCAAGGACAACCCAGUGACGCGGAACUUUUUGGCAUUAGCAUAUUUUUUUUUAUUCCUUGAUUUCUGCGUGCUGUAUUCCUUUAUUCCCUGUGAACCGUUGGUCCGACACUCGAACGUCGCAUGCGGUCACCUCAGAGCCUGUGGCUAGCCCGAUGUGACCAUUAUGUAGGAGCUGGAGUUUCUCCUUCUUUGAAGUAUGCACUCACCAAUUGCUUCUUCUUUCCAUUCCCUCCAUCUCGAGAAAAUGGCAAAUCAGGAGAUUGGAGUAUCCAAACCCAGCAAUUUGUCUGACUCCAAACAUCGUUCCUAUCGUCAGUCUGUAGCAGAACUUCACCAAGUAAGCAGACGUUUCUUGUAUCAAGUAUACGCAUUUCCAUAGCUUUUUCCGGACUGUCCUUAAAUUUUAAAGGAACUCGAUUGCAUUAAGUUGCACUUCGAGACAGUCGAAUAAAAGUUCGCGUGAAAUAUCUCUGGCACUGCAACGUGUGUUGUUUAAAUAGUUCAAACGGACUCCAGCACUACAGUAUUACGAGGAUUAAAUUAAUUUCUAUUUUUUUAAUUUUUAAAAAUUACCGGACGAAAUAGAAAAAGAGCCUCGAUAUUUGUAAGAAUCUGGAUAAUUUCAUUGUAAUUCGCAAAUAACUCUGGCAACUGAAUGCAAUUUUAAAUAAAAAAAAAAUUACGUUGUGAUUGCACUUUAGAUAAGUAUAACUCAAGAGAUCAGUUAUUAAAGAAAAAGAUAUUAAGUUACACGUGGGAAUAGAAUUGAGUGCGCUUAUUUGUCUUGCACGCAGGUACAUGAAACGAAGCGAUCGUCUUCUUCUUAUUGUGAUGGCAAAUUUAAAAUCCUUCGACAGCUACCAAACCGCUCUCUGUUCUUGCCUAUUUGUACUUCUAGCAACAGCUGAUAGAUGGCGAACGACAUUUGACUAUAGUAGUAAGCGUACAUGUUACAGUGUUGCCAUUCACAUAGCGCGGGUUCCGAGUUAAGUGGAUAACCCUGUAUAUCAUUUCUAGCGUAAUCGCGUAACUACGUGUAACGUACAAACCGAAGGGUAUUUUUACCACAGACUUUUAUUCCUAUUAACUUCACCACAUCUGUAUGUGUACUACAUCAUUUGUGACUUUACCAACUUUAUUAGUUGGAUUGAGCAUAAUUCCUGGACUCGGCGUCGCUUUAUAGCUACACUAUAUCGCAGAGGGCGUAGGAAAUACUCUAUUUUCCUUCAUGAUCGAUAUUUCAGAUAAUAUUAACAAACAGAUAUAAUCUUCCGGUGUCAAUAUUUAUGAAAGAUGUGCUUCAAGGCGCUGCUAUCUGAAUUACAACUUUUCGGAAACGAUGAUGAACCGUGCAGUACAAUCAAAUUCUAUUUAGAAAAAAGUGAUAAAGAUCUCCGUACGGUUAAUCCCCCACAACUAUAGAAAGCGCAUAGUAUGCGAUGUACAAUAAUAACUGAUCUAUCGAUUGAUCUGUACUCGUGAGAAACCGCAUGGUUUCUCAUGCCUGGAGUCGUUGAGCAGUUGGCCAUGGUGAAUGUAAACAGAAGUGAACUUGGCAGUGUCGAUAAUAUUCCCCAGUGAGGGUCGUCGAGGUUGAAACGACGGAGAAAGUGCAGUCGCGGUCGAGAAGAACGAAAAGAGAGCAGAAUGAGGACGGACCGCGAGAGAAAAUGGAAGGAGAAUGGUAAAAUCUGGCGGGAAAAAAGAAACUGAAGACGAAGGGAGAAAAUGAUGUCUGAACUGACGUGUAACACGGAAGAGAGAGAGAGGGAGAGAGAGGGAGAGGGAGAGGGAGAGGGAGAGAGAGAGAGAGAGAGAGAGAGAGAGAGAAAGGAUGUGGGAGAAAAAAGGAAAAUCUCCGAGACAGCUAUCAUGAACACUUAAAGAGUUCUGGCAGAUUUAUGAGCACGGGGCACCUCUCUCCAUCCCUACGCUCACGAGUCAGCCUGCCUGCUCGUCGGAUAAAUCCUGUCGGUCACUCAUUCUCGCUGCUCUCUUUAUCCAUUUUUCUAGACAGCAGCGAAUCCUCUUGCGUGACCGUGCUCGCCAUUUUCAUUGGGAAGAUGGCGAAUGCGGCGAGGAACCGCGAAGAAACGAGCUUGAUCAUUUAAAAGGAAUUCUAUCAGCGUUCAACCAUACUUAUUAAUAAUAUUUCUUACAAGGGCCAUUUGCCUCGCUGUUGAUAAGCUUAUUGAAGUUUGAUUUAUAAUUAAGAGCGUUGUGACUGUUUCGCGGCCAACGAUCGUUCGACAUGCGAUAAUUUCAUGACCACCAGUUUAGUCAAUUAAAUUAACCGUCGCUUCGAUAGUCAUCGGCCACCAUUUAAAGUAGUCCGCUUUGCGUGAAUAAUCAUAUUUGCAGCGAUUAGAAUAGUUGAAUCUACCAGAUACGAUCGAUGACGAUUAAACAUAGAUAAAAUUGAUAAAAACUUCCAAUCCGUAGAAUAUUUUUUGCCAAUGGGGCUGAAUUUGUUAUGUUUCGAUGUUAUCUCUGAGGUUGGUGUAAAUUUGGCCAGCGUGACAGCGUAUGAGGAGUAUUGGUUUGGUAAGAUGGUUUUGUAGAAUUAUUGUGAAGUUAUCGAAGUGCUUUGGAUAGAAUGUUCGAUUCAAUAUUUAACGAUCCUGGUAUGAUCUUCGAAUUUUUUUUAUCCUCGACCUCACUCUUUUCUUUUAACGAGCAAAAAGAUUUUUAUUGUUUUUAGUGCCAAAAACUGUGGCAUAUACCGAGAGGGAUAGAUCAUGCGUACCAAGAACUAUUCUUUCGUACUUUCCAUAAACCCUAAACUGAAGAAAUUUGUUAAUAGAGAAAACAGUAUUAUUAGAAUAAUGAAAAGAAUAAUCAUCGUGGUGUUCGCAUGGCCACCCAUAAGCGUCCACGUCAUUUUUUCACGGCUUUUCGUUUCGCUAUGCGGGAUGAUGAUUUAACGAGGCAUAGACUGCGAGAAAGUGACUUGAGGAGGCAGCUGAGAGAUAAGGUAUAGCGAAACAAGUGCGAUAAGCCGAAACGAGAUAGCGUCGUCGCAGCCAGUCGACGAUAUCUCAAAGUCAAUGUCCUAUGAAGGACUGCUGCUACGUUCCGAUCCGACAAACCACCGUAUAUAUACUACAUACUCUUCUCUGAUUACAGGCAUUACGGCCACGUGUGUCGCUGCCCGUCGCUGCCAGUCGCUGCAUUCUCCUUCCUCCUUCCUCCUUCCACCCGUUCCGACGCAUGUUUCUCCGUCUCUGACUCGUGGAGAUAUCGAUGCCGAAAACACGAUUUCUUAUUCGCGCUGAUCUGUCUCUAUUUUCGUAUACUUGCCGAAUCUCUUGCCCCAACGCGCUUGUUUAGGACCAUGGAAUCUGCUUUUUUGUUACCUUGGCCUGUUAAACGGGAUUGAUUUGCGGAUUAUUGGUUGAUUCAUGUUUCUUAGACAAAUAUGCAGAUGUCGUCAUAAAAUACUUUUAUUCCGCAAACGUGGCUUCCGACAAAUUUUAUGCGGUGCUAACAUUAAUACGAAACUCGCUAUGAUAAAACAUAAAACGUCGUAUCUAGAAUCACGAUAAGAACAACGAAACCUGACGCUGACCUUAAACUUCAGGCAGCGCGGCGAACGGAACUUGGAAAGAGGAUCAUUUGAUUCAAGUGAUUAUUUCAUUCUUUGUAUUUUCAUUGAUUCGUUAGAUAAUAUGUCAAGCCAGUCGUACAAGUCGUACAAGUCGUACAUCUGCAGAAUACAGAAUAAAAUUAUACGAAAAUUCACGUUUCACAACAAGAAUAUGUAAUAUUUAUCAACUAUUUCCACAGACACUGUUGUCUUCGCAAAAUAAUCACUAUCAUGUAAAGGAUCAAUCUAUUAUCUUUAUCUCAGAUAUUUGAUCUAUAGAUAUACGUAUAAAAGAUAUACAUAUUCGUUCUAAUUACAAACUUUCAAGUAUUCAAGCGAUGCACGAUAAGUCUCCGAUAUUUCGUUUCUUUCUACUUGCAGACUUUCACGUAUGGUAUAAUUGACACAAACAGCGUUGAAAAUAUAAAUUUCAAACGUUAUUCGUGGCUUCUUGCUUUUCCAUAUAAUAACUAAUAACGUAGUUACUAGAAAAUAAAAUACGCACAUGAGUGGUGCAUUGUACAAAAGUGCGUAGUAUUAUUCGACAGUGAUAUAGUCCAUACACUUUUUCAUUUAAUUUAUGAAUCGUGUAACAAGCUUUAGAUAUGGAAAACCACAUGCUAAUAUUGCUAUAUACUUUGUAGCUACUGCUAGACAAAUGAAUAACUAUAUAAUAUAUAUAAUUUUAUCGGUACUUUUUUAAAAACUAUCUCUACACUCUGACUGACAUUUGAAUAAAACGUCACACGCAAUCAACUGUAUUUCAAACUCUUUGCCUGAAAAGGACAAAUUGUUGCUCAAACCAUUUAUCAGAAAGAAUUGGUUAAAAGACAAUUAGUUCUCUCAAGAAUUAUUUACAAAAUUUGAACAUCCAACAACAUACAUCAAUAGUAAUUUGUAAUCAUUAAGAUUAUAAACGAACUGACUACCAGUUUUCAUAAUUGUCAGUUACACUUAAACGUGAAAACAAAAAUAAUUAAAUUUAAAAGAAAGUAACAAGAAAGUAAUCGUGAACGAACUAGCUAUGAAUGCUAAAUGCUGAAAAAUACUAAACAAAAUUAUAAAAUCAACUAUGAUUCCUGACAACUGUCAGCUAAACAUGAAAACAAAAACCAUUGCGCGUUUGAAACUAACGAAUAUUUAUUCCUUGUAUAAACAAACUAGUGAUCAACCUGACGUUCUUUAUUGUAAGCUUUUUUGUUGCAAAAAUUUUCAAGCGAAUUAUUAUUCAAUUCUGAUAUUAAAAGGAGAGUCACAUCAAUACCAACGGUUACAUUUACGUUACAUCAAAUAAAGUUUAAUAAAAGUAAUAGAAUUGGGACAUAAUACGAACCAGGGGACUAAAUAUCAGACUGCCUGCGACGGGUGAUUGUCAACGAAUUCACAAUUUUAGCUAACCAAAAAUGGCCACCUGUAAUAAUAAUAAACAGAGAGAUAUAAAGAUAGGGUACAUGGGUUAUAUGUUAGCGCGUAAGUGAAAGCGACAUAGGGGCUCCUUCUGUCCCUGUCUAAUCAGCCAUGCACACUGACGCCGCUCGUUGAUCGGCGUUACAAUUCCAUAUUUACUGUACGGAUGUGCAUGCGUUAUUAGACAAGGACAGAAGGGGCCUCUAUUCGUUAACGUUCGCUUUCGAUUCUUGUAUCGUUUUUUCAGCUCGCUCACGCACUCUAUCGUUAGAUCUCCAUAAUUGCUAAACGUAAGAGGUGCAUUAACUUCGCUUGAUUAUUUUUUACUUAACUCGCGUAAUUUCUUUUUUAAUAGCAUAGAUAUCGGUCUUCUUUUUCUUUUUUUGGAAAUAAUUUCACGGGGACAGGGGACUGAAAUGUAAAAGUGGUGACAAAGAUUGUAAAUGUUCUUCGUCGAUAGAAUGAAGUCGAUUAAUGUAAAAAUAAAUGUGAAUGGAAUCUAGCGGUUCAAGGGUUAUGCGUGUGUAAAACUGAGCAUUUUUAUCGUAUUUUACAGGUUAGUACGACGCCAUAUUGCUUCUAUUCGUAAUUCGAUUGAUCCGACAGAUGAGCAUUGAACUACUAACUUCGCCGAAUGUUCAUUUAUACAAGCGUAACCGGCAACCUUUAGCCAAAACUAAUUCAGUACUUAUGAUUCAAAAUCCCGUCGUAAAAUGGCCGACAUCCACGUGCAUUUGUUACAGCCAGUGACUCUACUCAUUGGACGAAUCAUGGAUAAAAACCAACAUGGUGUCAAGGUUGAAGCUGUCAACGCUGAAAUCGCUUAACUUUACGUACUUGUAACUUUUCAACUGCGGGAUUCCUAAAGUUAAAACAUACAUUUUUCGAUUCUACGCAUAGAAAACCAUUAAAUUGCAAUUAGGAAAGGUCACAAUUUUGUGUCCGUUAAACCGAAGUUCAGCCUAUACGUAAAAAGGAAAAAUUAGCGAAUACUUUCAAAUUUAUGCACUGAACAUGAGAAUGGUAGAUUAAAUUUUAUAGUUGUAAUAUGCCAGGAAAUUGAGAAUUUCAUGUAAAAGUGGUAAUUUUUUGAUAUAAAUAAAUUAAAUUGAUAAUUCUUCAUAAUUUGUCCAUGAAGUUACAGUUAUUAUCUGUCUCUGGUAUAUAUAGAUAUAAUACGAUUUAAUGUUUUCAAAGUGUUAAAAAGUGAGAGAUUUGAAGAGAGAGAGAGAGAGAGAGAGAGAGAGAGAGAGAGCGAGAAAGAAAUGCCCACUUCUGUAGAAUCCCCAUACACGUAUGUGUAUAAAACAAUAAUAACCAAUAAUUUAUAUGAUUGUUUUAUUAACGUUUACACUUUUUUUAAACAUUUUUUUUCUAGACUUUUUCUGAUUAGACGGAGGAAGGAAGGAAGAGAGAGAGAGAGAGAGAGAGAGAGAGAGAGGCAGAGGGAGAGUACCAUAUUUUAAUAAAUUUCGAAGAACUUUUACGAUUAAUAGAUUUGUUCUUGUAACUUGAGAUAAAUCUUUUUGUCUUACUAGUAACAGUUAUAUCAUUAUAAAGCGAAGAGUUUAUUUUUCAUUACACUGUAUCUAAUGAAAUGUAAUCUUUAAAAACAAGUUUUAGCUAAAUACGUAUAUCUCGAUGGACUAAUUACACAAUCAUCAGUCGAUGGCAAUGUUCUUAGUAAUUCGCAGCAUUAUAAAACAAACACAGCCGUUAAAUAUCAAGAAUAUACUUACAGAGAUAAAACCGUUUUGGCCUAAAAAUAUGUCUCUAUACGGAUUAGGUAAUGUCAACUCUUUUUCUUCGAAUACUCAAAGUUCUAUAUGCGAUAACGAUGAAAACGCCAGUGUAAAUUUACAUGUUUGCGAGUUUUAUAAAAUUUAUGAAUCAAGUUCAGUCACCUCACGAUCACGAAUUUUUUUCAACUCACGAUCAAUCCCACAAGUACUUGAAAUAAGUUUUACGAAAAUGUUGUUUUAUAAGAUUUGUCUGAUACAUAUGGUAUUUAAUAGGUAAUUCCAAGAAAUUACAUUCAUCUUUUCAGUUUAAUAAGUCUAGGUAAUCGUAAAACUUGGUGUAACUAAGUUUCUUAUUGAAAAGGUUUUUCCUUAAGUUUAUAAUUAUAUGUCGUAUCAUUUUAUAGUAUGUUUUUCACAAAUCUAUUAUAUAUUAUUAGCAUAACUACUAAAUAAUAAUUACAACACGUUUUAACGAUAAAAUUAGUUAACAAAUGUAAUCAGCGAUAAUUUUUACAAAUUACUAUAGCGAUCUUCUUAGGAAUAAAACAGACUAAUUUACGUACACAUGAUUGCUAUCGCACAUUGCUAGCAAUCAGAUAUUGGAUAUGUAUUAAUUAGAAAUCAAUCUGGCGAUCAAUAAAGAAAUUCUUAUCAUCAAACUACAACUACAACCUACAACUUCCGUCUACGAUAUUGCUCGAUAGGAAAAACAGCCACUUGAAGUACAACAUUGCGUCAUGCGAUCUGUGAAUCUCUCUCGACGGAAGAACUUCGGAAAAGGUUUUCAAGAAUUUAGGCUAGGACGAUCGAAAGUUUGAACAGAUAAUUUACCAUUCUAUAAUUUCCCUGCUCGAUGAGCAUGCAUGGUGUCGAUGAUAUUUGGUCGAUCGAAUAAACAGCGAGGCCGUUGACUCUUCAUCGGCCAUGCUUUUCUCCGAUCUAAUCUUCAAUCUCCGAUCGAAACAGCACAAUCUAUCCACCCAACAUAGGAAACUUACGGGCCAGCUACAAUCUACAAUGUCACGAGCAAAGGUCUAUCGAGCGAGUCCCAACCGUCGAUAACGGCAACUAACAACAGGCUAAUCUAUCAAGGACGCUUGACAGUGAAAAUUUGGCCUUGAAAAGGCAAUACCGUUCACUGGAAACCUGACGGGUUUAUUAUAUCCAUAAUGGAGUAUCGUUAGCGGAAUACGUGUACUAUUUACGUCCAUUCUUGUGGUAAUAGACGCUAAGACUCUAAACGCUGUUUGUGAAUAUUUAAAAAUAUUAGAAAUAGAAUCACUGAAUUUCAAUUACUGUCUAUUUAAAAGGUAAUCUUUGUUCAAAAGGGAAUCACAGAAGAAUUAGCUAUUGCGAAGCAAUAAAGCAUCGAUCAAGAGGUUUAAAGGUAUGAAAAUCAUUUUUCGAGAGUUUCCUUUCUUUUGUUUUAAUUCGCAUUUAGUUUAGAGCUGCUUUGAUGGAUUUUCAAUGGAAUUUGAUAAACGUAACAAAGAUACAAACGAAGGUAUGUAUUUAUGGAUUUUGUUUGAACUACAAAGAAGAUUGAAGUUUCUAUAAUAUCGUAUCAAGUGAUAUUAUCGAUGGCCAAAAUUAUUGGACUGUAAUCAAGUAAAAGUUGAUUACGUUGAUUCCUAAGCUAAAAUUAUAAGAUAAGAUUUAGGGGAAUCAUUAGAUUAUUUGGGAUGAUUAUUAGUUGACGUAUUAUAUCGAACA